ensembl:lncRNA
GGCGGAGCCCGACCUCACAAGCACUUCCACCUGGCGUGCGGACUGCUUGGGAGCAAUCCCCGACCGGCCUCGGGACGGAGCGCAGGAUCCCGGCCGCCCGCGACCCCUCCUCAGGCGCCGCCUCCCGCAGCCCGGACAGCGCCCUCGCGGGUCGGCCUCGAUGGCCGGGAGCUGACGGAGUCGCCCCCUGGGCCGGCCGGCCGCAGACUCCCGUCAGCGGCGCUGCGGCCCCCGCCGACGUCCCCUUCCCACUUGUUCAGGGGCGUCCAGACCCCCUGAAUGGGGACGCCGACCCCGUGUCCAAUGGCAGCCCAGGUGAUGUGCAACCUCAGGUGCAGCAGCCUGCCACCGUCGAUGCCCAUGAGUAGUCUCCCAGCUCCUCGCAGCCCGCCGAGCAUGUGCAGGGAGCCGGCCGCACACUGCUGACUGGAGACCGCUUGACUCGCCCCCAUUUCUCUCGCCAGAGCGAGGCUCCGCGUGCCCACUUGCUGGCAGAGACAGGACAACCCUCAGGCCGCAGGUUGUUGGGGACUCUGGCCCCUGGGAACCUCAUCGAGCGCGGGCCUCGGCAGAGGGAGCUGCAGGGGGCAGCGCCUGCCUGGACCCUUGGCACUUCGUACGCAGUUCAGCACAGCCUCAAGGGCCAGGACCUGAAGGAGCCAACUCUAGUCCUGAUGACUUUUUGGUUCCUGGGAGCCCUGGCUACCUUUUGUUCGAAUUAGUUCGAGAGACUCCCUUGUAUCCGUCCGAAAUGCUCGUUUUUCCUUAGCUAGUUUUGGUUCAGUAAAUAACACUGUCUUUAAGAAGACGAAUAAAGAGUUUCAGAACAUAGAUAUCUAAAUUAAUUUGCACUUCGAUUUUCUUUUGGUGAAAAAGAGAUUUAGUCUUGGAUUGUCACGUUAACAAGGAAGGCUUUUCACCAAAAGGAUCAGACUUCUGGAAAGAACUACAGGCUUAUGUGAUGGAGGAAAAGCAAGGAGAACUUGGAUGACAGCGUUUUGAAAGUUACUGGUACUACAUAUCAAGUUGGAGGAAAAAUUGAAGAGAAAUAUUUUGGCUGCAUAAUUCUCCUCCCAUCCCUACCCAUGCCAAGUCUUUUCCUUUGAGCUCUGAACCAUUAACUCAUUAACUCUUAGUGCACUCAGAGGCGUUACUAAGCUAAAGGGGAUUUUCCUCACCAGGGAAGAAA